AUUGAACGCUGGCGGCAGGCCUAACACAUGCAAGUCGAGCGGUAGAGAGGUGCUUGCAUCUCUUGAGAGCGGCGGACGGGUGAGUAAUGCCUAGGAAUCUGCCUAGUGGUGGGGGAUAACGUUCGGAAACGGACGCUAAUACCGCAUACGUCCUACGGGAGAAAGCGGGGGGAUCUUCGGACCUCGCGCCAUUAGAUGAGCCUAGGUCGGAUUAGCUAGUUGGUGAGGUAAUGGGCUCACCAAGGCGACGAUCCGUAACUGGUCUGAGAGGAUGAUCAGUCACACUGGAACUGAGACACGGUCCAGACUCCUACGGGAGGCAGCAGUGGGGAAUAUUGGGCAAUGGGCGAAAGCCUGAUCCAGCAAUGCCGCGUGCAGGAAGAAGCUC
rnacentral:rRNA from 1 species